rnacentral:rRNA from 1 species
UGAGCGCUGAAGGUUGGUACUUGUACCGACUGGAUGAGCAGCGAACGGGUGAGUAACGCGUGGGGAAUCUGCCUUUGAGCGGGGGACAACAUUUGGAAACGAAUGCUAAUACCGCAUAAAAACUUUAAACAUAAGUUUUAAGUUUGAAAGAUGCAAUUGCAUCACUCAAAGAUGAUCCCGCGUUGUAUUAGCUAGUUGGUGAGGUAAAGGCUCACCAAGGCGAUGAUACAUAGCCGACCUGAGAGGGUGAUCGGCCACAUUGGGACUGAGACACGGCCCAAACUCCUACGGGAGGCAGCAGUAGGGAAUCUUCGGCAAUGGACGAAAGUCUGACCGAGCAACGCCGCGUGAGUGAAGAAGGUUUUCGGAUCGUAAAACUCUGUUGGUAGAGAAGAACGUUGGUGAGAGUGGAAAGCUCAUCAAGUGACGGUAACUACCCAGAAAGGGACGGCUAACUACGUGCCAGCAGCCGCGGUAAUACGUAGGUCCCGAGCGUUGUCCGGAUUUAUUGGGCGUAAAGCGAGCGCAGGUGGUUUAUUAAGUCUGGUGUAAAAGGCAGUGGCUCAACCAUUGUAUGCAUUGGAAACUGGUAGACUUGAGUGCAGGAGAGGAGAGUGGAAUUCCAUGUGUAGCGGUGAAAUGCGUAGAUAUAUGGAGGAACACCGGUGGCGAAAGCGGCUCUCUGGCCUGUAACUGACACUGAGGCUCGAAAGCGUGGGGAGCAAACAGGGUUAGAUACCCUGGUAGUCCACGCCGUAAACGAUGAGUGCUAGAUGUAGGGAGCUAUAAGUUCUCUGUAUCGCAGCUAACGCAAUAAGCACUCCGCCUGGGGAGUACGACCGCAAGGUUGAAACUCAAAGGAAUUGACGGGGGCCCGCACAAGCGGUGGAGCAUGUGGUUUAAUUCGAAGCAACGCGAAGAACCUUACCAGGUCUUGACAUACUCGUGCUAUUCCUAGAGAUAGGAAGUUCCUUCGGGACACGGGAUACAGGUGGUGCAUGGUUGUCGUCAGCUCGUGUCGUGAGAUGUUGGGUUAAGUCCCGCAACGAGCGCAACCCCUAUUGUUAGUUGCCAUCAUUAAGUUGGGCACUCUAACGAGACUGCCGGUGAUAAACCGGAGGAAGGUGGGGAUGACGUCAAAUCAUCAUGCCCCUUAUGACCUGGGCUACACACGUGCUACAAUGGAUGGUACAACGAGUCGCGAGACAGUGAUGUUUAGCUAAUCUCUUAAAACCAUUCUCAGUUCGGAUUGUAGGCUGCAACUCGCCUACAUGAAGUCGGAAUCGCUAGUAAUCGCGGAUCAGCACGCCGCGGUGAAUACGUUCCCGGGCCUUGUACACACCGCCCGUCACACCACGGGAGUUGGGAGUACCCGAAGUAGGUUGCCUAACCGCAAGGA